GCUUGAGAAUGGUGACUGAUCGACCAGAUUGCUCGGGCCAUCGGAAUACCUCAUGUUUCCCUUUGAAGAAGUUCUCCUCUUAUGUUCUGGUUUAAAUCACCUGUGUGUCUUAAUUUCUCAAUUCCUUUUUGGCAAGAAUAUCAAGCAAGAUAGGGUCUCACUCUAUCAUCGCCCAGGCUGGAGUACAGUGGCGCAAUCUCGGCUCACUGGAACCUCUAUCUCCCAACCUAUCCUCUCGCCUCAGCCUCCCAAGUAGCUGGGACUACAGGUGCACACCACCACACCCAGCUAAUUUUUUGUAUUUUUAGUAGAGACAGGUUUUUCCAUGUUGCCCAGGCUGGUGUUGAACUCCUGGGCUCAAACAAUCCACCUACA
rnacentral:sRNA from 1 species